UGUGAAGACAAGCCCAAUGCCAGAAGAUGGAACUUUCUCAUCUUCCCCAGAGGAGAGAACAUGUUGUAAUCACCCAACACAGUCAUAUUGCAAUGCCACCCAAGGUAGUCCGAGCGACGACUGAGGAGGUGUCAUUCUGAUUUCAUUGAAACUCGGAGGUCUAUUUCUCUUUGGCGUACGUGGAAGAUUGAUAAAUAUGUGGCCCUGCAGAGUUCCUGUACUAAUCAAUAUACAUUCAUUGAAUAAAUGAUGGAAAGAAUAAGUGAAUCAAAAGCAUGGAAUGACUGAAUUUCCCAACAACAACUUCCCAGUGCACAAUACUAUCUGUUACACAUGGAUACCAGCAAUAAUACACGGGGGGCUCUGGCGUGAGAGACAACCGGCUCUGUGUUCAUCUGUGUUCCGAGUCUCAUCCUUCAUCGGGGAGUUUCUGUUCACGCUGUAGCCACCAUCAUCAGCAAUUAAA